UUGCCAGACUCCUACGGGAGGCAGCAGUGGGGAAUAUUGGGCAAUGGGCGCAAGCCUGACCCAGCAACGCCGCGUGAAGGAAGAAGGCUUUCGGGUUGUAAACUUCUUUUCUGAGGGACGAAGAAAGUGACGGUACCUCAGGAAUAAGCCACGGCUAACUACGUGCCAGCAGCCGCGGUAAUACGUAGGUGGCAAGCGUUAUCCGGAUUUAUUGGGUGUAAAGGGCGUGUAGGCGGGAAAGCAAGUCAGACGUGAAAUUCCAGGGCUCAACCCUGGAACUGCGUUUGAAACUGUUCUUCUUGAGUGAUGGAGAGGCAGGCGGAAUUCCGUGUGUAGCGGUGAAAUGCGUAGAUAUACGGAGGAACACCAGUGGCGAAGGCGGCCUGCUGGACAUUAACUGACGCUGAGGCGCGAAAGCGUGGGGAGCAAACAGGAUUAGAUACCCCCGUA
rnacentral:rRNA from 1 species